rnacentral:misc_RNA from 1 species
AAAAAAAAAAAAAAAAGUUAAGAACAGUUGGUUUUGAACAUUUCUCCCAUUAGCUAUCCAUCUCUCUCUUUCUGUGUACAGGGCUUUCUACGCUUGAGCUUUGUUCCUUUCUCUCUGUCCUUUGAUUCAGGUUUUUCUUUCCACUUAAUAUUUAAUCUUGCUUGUAUCCUUAAUCUAAAUAUGAGAUUCUGAUGUUCUAUAGAAUUUUUUGUCUUCCCUGUUUGUUGAUUGAAUCUAUGAGAAUUUGGUUUAGAUUUUCUUAUUUUAUAGGUAGCUGUUGAGUGUUUCUGGAUUUUAAUUUGAUUUGGGAUCUCAUUCGAACAAAAUAUUUGCUGCUUAUAGAUAUUUGUUUAGUGGGUACUUCUAAUUUCUGUAGUUUUUGGUCUUGCCUUCAUAAUUUGAUGGUGGACAGAUCUGGGUACUCUUAUUUAGUCGCUGAGAAGCAAAUAAAAGGAAGAUGACAAGAAUGAAAAUCUGUGUCUCAUGUGUGUGUUCCUCUACCCCUUUCAUUUGGAUUCAAAAUUUAGCUCGGAGCCAGAAUUUUUGGUUAGUGGGGGCAAAAAUUUUAUCUUCAUGUAUUUAGAAAAUAUUUUUUAAAUAUUUUUUUUAUUUACAAAAUAUUGUG